rnacentral:rRNA from 1 species
AGUGAACGCUGGCGGUAGGCCUAACACAUGCAAGUCGAACGGCAGCACAGGAGAGCUUGCUCUCUGGGUGGCGAGUGGCGGACGGGUGAGGAAUACAUCGGAAUCUACUCUGUCGUGGGGGAUAACGUAGGGAAACUUACGCUAAUACCGCAUACGACCUACGGGUGAAAGCAGGGGACCUUCGGGCCUUGCGCGAUUGAAUGAGCCGAUGUCGGAUUAGCUAGUUGGCGGGGUAAAGGCCCACCAAGGCGACGAUCCGUAGCUGGUCUGAGAGGGUGAUCAGCCACACUGGAACUGGCACACGGUCCAGACUCCUACGGGAGGCAGCAUUGGGGAAUAUUGGACAGUGGGCGCAAGCCUGAUCCAGCCAUACCGCGUGGGUGAAGAAGGCCUUCGGGUUGUAAAGCCCUUUUGUUGGGAAAGAAAUCCAGCUGGCUAAUACCCGGUUGGGAUGACGGUACCCAAAGAAUAAGCACCGGCUAACUUCUUGCCAGCAGCCGCCGUAA